UGGGGAAUUUUGGACAAUGGGCGCAAGCCUGAUCCAGCCAUGCCGCGUGAGUGAAGAAGGCCUUCGGGUUGUAAAGCUCUUUCGGCGGGAACGAAAUAGCGCGGGCGAAUAUCCCGCGUCGAUGACGGUACCCGAAGAAGAAGGACCGGCUAACUACGUGCCAGCAGCCGCGGUAAUACGUAGGAUCCGAGCGUUAAUCGGAAUUACUGGGCGUAAAGCGUGCGUAGGCGGCUUCGCAAGUCCGAUGUGAAAUCCCCGGGCUUAACCUGGGAACUGCGUUGGAAACUAUGAAGCUAGAGUGCGGCAGAGGGGGGUGGAAUUCCGGGUGUAGCAGUGAAAUGCGUAGAUAUCUGGAGGAACACCAAUGGCGAAGGCAGCCCCCUGGGUUAGCACUGACGCUCAUACACGAAAGCGUGGGGAGCAAACAGGAUUAGAUACCCUGGUAGUCCACGCCCUAAACGAUGGCAACUAGUUGUUGGGGGAUGAACUCCCUUAGUAACGCAGCUAACGCGUGAAGUUGCCCGCCUGGGGAGUACGGUCGCAAGAUUA
rnacentral:rRNA from 1 species